GCGGCGUCGGGUUGGAAAACCAGGAGAGCAUGGAGCUUUUUCGCUGGUCCGGCGCGGUCUCUUGCGUUCCUGUGGCGGGCACCUGACUCCCCAUGCCCGAGUACUGUCCUCAGGCGGAACGGCGUCUGCAGCGAGGAGCGGGGUUCCAGCAGGCUCGGCUGACGCGGUCCCUGGCAUUUCCCGUGCUGGCCCUGGGUCGCCCUCGAUGCUGCUUCCCGCUGGGAGCCUCCUUCUGACGGCGGAAAGGAGCUUCACCUGGGGCGGCCGGCGGGGAACGGAGAAGAAUCCACCGGGGAAGUGGACGGGGCUGGCUCCCGGGCCUGGCGCUGCGGCUCUCGGGCCGUCAGACCUCCCGCGGGUUGCGUCACUUUCCUCGGUUUUCUAGACAGCAGUUGUGGGGUUGAAUCCUUGCCGUGGUUUUGUAAGAAUUAAAUGAGAUAAUGAACGCGAACACCAAUCAUUGCUCUUUGUUGGGUGCUUCCUGUGGGCCUGGCAAUAUUAACAACACGAGCUCAUUCAUGCAUUCAUUUGCUACUCAGUGACUUUCCUGUCAAUACUGCAAGGUGCUGGAGAUGAGCCCCCACUCUUUGGUCAGUAAAACUGCCAAGAUCACCGACCUUGUGAAGACAUUUGAGGAUGAGAGAGACAGGGUCUCAAUCUGCCACCCAGCCUGGAGUGCACUGGCACCAUCAUAGCUCACUGCUGAUUCAAACUCCUAGGCUCAAGCAACUCUCCAUCUCAGCCUCCCAAGUAGCUGGGAUUACAGGGUCUCCCUCUGUCACCCAGGCUGAAGUGCAGAGAAGUGAUCAUGGCUCACUGCAGCCUCAACCUUCUGGGCUCAAGCAAUCCUCCCACCUCAGCCUCCCGAGUAGCUGUGACUACAGGUGUGUGCCACCACACCCAGCUAAUUUUUUUUCU
rnacentral:lncRNA from 10 species